UACGAAGGGGGCUAGCGUUGUUCGGAAUUACUGGGCGUAAAGGGCGCGUAGGCGGCCUUCUAAGUCGAACGUGAAAUCCCUGGGCUCAACCCAGGAACUGCGUCCGAUACUGGAAGGCUUGAAUCCGGGAGAGGGAUGCGGAAUUCCAGGUGUAGCGGUGAAAUGCGUAGAUAUCUGGAGGAACACCGGUGGCGAAGGCGGCAUCCUGGACCGGCAUUGACGCUGAGGCGCGAAAGCCAGGGGAGCAAACGGG
rnacentral:rRNA from 1 species